rnacentral:rRNA from 1 species
AAGGGAGCGUAGGCCGGAGAUUAAGCGUGUUGUGAAAUGUAGACGCUCAACGUCUGCACUGCAGCGCGAACUGGUUUCCUUGAGUACGCACAAAGUGGGCGGAAUUCGUGGUGUAGCGGUGAAAUGCUUAGAUAUCACGAAGAACUCCGAUUGCGAAGGCAGCUCACUGGAGCGCAACUGACGCUGAAGCUCGAAAGUGCGGGUAUCGAACAGGAUUAGAUACCCUGGUAGUCCGCACGGUAAACGAUGGAUGCCCGCUGUUGGGCCAACUGGUUCGGCGGCCAAGCGAAAGCAUUAAGCAUCCCACCUGGGGAGUACGCCGGCAACGGUGAAACUCAAAGGAAUUGACGGGGGCCCGCACAAGCGGAGGAACAUGUGGUUUAAUUCGAUGAUACGCGAGGAACCUUACCCGGGCUUGAAUUGCAGAGGAAGGAUUUGGAGACAAUGACGCCCUUCGGGGUCUCUGUGAAGGUGCUGCAUGGUUGUCGUCAGCUCGUGCCGUGAGGUGUCGGCUUAAGUGCCAUAACGAGCGCAACCCCUCUCCAUAGUUGCCAUCAGGUCAAGCUGGGCACUCUGUGGACACUGCCACCGUAAGGUGCGAGGAAGGUGGGGAUGACGUCAAAUCAGCACGGCCCUUACGUCCGGGGCUACACACGUGUUACAAUGGCAGGUACAGAGAGCCGGUCGUAUGCGAAUACGAUCCAAUCCUUAAAGCCUGUCUCAGUUCGGACUGGGGUCUGCAACCCGACCCCACGAAGCUGGAUUCGC